AGGACGAACGCUGGCGGCGUGCUUAACACAUGCAAGUCGAGCGACAGCAUCCUUCGGGGUGUAUGGAGCGGCGAACGGGUGAGUAACACGUGGGCAACCUGCCCUUAGCUCUGGGAUAACUCCGGGAAACCGGGGCUAAUACCGGAUACGACUGCUCCUGGCAUCUGGGGCAGUGGAAAGUUUUUCGGCUGAGGAUGGGCCCGCGGCCUAUCAGCUUGUUGGUGGGGUCACGGCCCACCAAGGCGACGACGGGUAGCCGGCCUGAGACGGGCGACCGGCCACGACUGGGACUGAGACACGGCCCAGACUCCUACGGGAGGCAGCAGUGGGGAAUAUUGCGCAAUGGGCGAAAGCCUGACGCAGCGACGCCGCGUGAGGGAUGAACGUCCUUCGGGUUAGUAAACCUCUUUCAGCAGGACGAAGCGAAGUGACGUACGUGACAGAACGAAGCGACCGACCACUACGUCGCCAGCAACGCCGACGUAACUCGAGUACGCGGCGUUAGGACCGAAGGCCGA
rnacentral:rRNA from 1 species